AGAGUUUGAUCCUGGCUCAGAACGAAGCUGGCGGCAGGCCUCAAACAUGCAAGUCUAGGGGGUGUAGCAAUACAUCACCGGCGGACGGGUGCGUAACGCGUGGGAAUGUACCUAUUGGUUCGGAACAACUGAGGGAAACUUCAGCUAAUACCGAAUGUGUCCUUACGGAGAAAGAUUUAUCGCCAAUAGAUCAGCCCGCGUCCGAUUAGCUAGUUGGUGGGGUAAUGGCCCACCAAGGCUCCGAUCGGUAGCUGUUCUGAGAGGAAGAUCAGCCACACUGGGACUGAGACACGGCCCAGACUCCUACGGGAGGCAGCAGUUGGGAAUCUUGGACAAUGGGGGAAACCCUGAUCCAGCCAUGCCGCGUGAGUGAUGAAGGCCUUCGGGUUGUAAAACUCUUUCGCGCACGACGAUAAUGACGGUAGUGCGAGAAGAAGCUCCGGCUAACUUCGUGCCAGCAGCCGCGGUAAUACGAAGGGGGCUAGCGUUGUUCGGAAUUACUGGGCGUAAAGCGCGCGCAGGCGGCUAUCCAAGUCAGUGGUGAAAGCCCGGAGCUCAACUCCGGAACUGCCAUUGAAACUGUUUAGCUUGAGUAUGAGAGAGGUGAGUGGAAUUCCCAGUGUAGAGGUGAAAUUCGUAGAUAUUGGGAAGAACACCGGUGGCGAAGGCGGCUCACUGGCUCAUUACUGACGCUCAGGCGCGACAGCGUGGGGAUCAAACAGGAUUAGAUACCCUAGUAGUCC
rnacentral:rRNA from 1 species